rnacentral:rRNA from 1 species
GGCCAGACUCCUACGGGAGGCAGCAGUGGGGAAUAUUGCACAAUGGGGGGAACCCUGAUGCAGCGACGCCGCGUGGGUGAAGGAGUAUUUCGGUAUGUAAAGCCCUAUCAGCAGGGAAGAACAAUGACGGUACCUGACUAAGAAGCACCGGCUAAAUACGUGCCAGCAGCCGCGGUAAUACGUAGGGGGCGAGCGUUAUCCGGAUUCACUGGGUGUAAAGGGAGCGUAGACGGCCAUGCAAGCCAGGGGUGAAAGCCCGGGGCUCAACCCUGGGACUGCUCUGGAAACUGUAAAGCUGGAGUGCGGGAGGGGCAGGCGGAAUUCCUGGUGUAGCGGUGAAAUGCGUAGAUAUCAGGAGGAACACCGGCGGCGAAGGCGGCCUGCUGGACCGUAACUGACGUUGAGGCUCGAAAGCGUGGGGAGCAAACAGGAUUAGAUACCCCUGUAC